CGUGUUGUUCAUUAUUUCUCAUUUACUUUCUUUAACUCAUUUUUGGACCAGAUUUAAUUUGCACAAUUAUUGUGCAAACUAAAUACUACAAUUAUUACAAGUAAAAAACCGGAAAUCUAGACAUUAAUUUAAAAAGUUCUAUAAAAGCUAUCUUGUGGUAAGCUAUGUUAUAUCAUCCAAUUCUAGUCUUCACUCACCAUUCAUAUUCAAGCUACUACAAUGUCUUUCGCUAGUGACAAACCAGCAAAUGAAGAAAAUGACCUAACCCUUUCCCUUCCCAAGGAGAGUGGUUUAGGUGCAGCUCCCUAUCUCAAUCUAUUUCAAGAUUUUUGGUGCCCACCAGUUUAUGUUAAAGGAGUGAACAAGUUUCAAAAACAUUUUGAUGCAAAAGACAAUGAUGUUUUUGUUGCCAGCAUUCCAAAGUCAGGUACUACCUGGUUGAAAGCUCUUACUUUUGCCAUUGCAAACCAUCAACGUUUUUCCUCUUUCGACAAUCAUCCAUUACUCUCUUCCAAUCCUCAUGAACUUGUGCCCUUCCCUGAAUUUAUGUAUUCUUAUGAUUUGCAUGAUCAAAUUAUUUCCCUCUCCAACAUGAGUGAGCCAAGACUUCUUUCUACUCACUUACCAUUCCCUUCAUUACCUCAAUCCAUCACAAAAUCCAAUUGCAAGAUCAUUUAUAUAUCUAGAAAUCCAUUUGAUACUUUUGUUUCAGCAUGGGAAUUCUUUACUAAAAUAAAGUCAGUAUCUUUACCUGAAUUCACUUUGGAGGAAGCAUUUGAAAAGUAUUGCAAUGGGAUAACGGUGUUUGGUCCAUGGUGGAGUCAUAUGUUAGGUUACUGGAAGGAGAGCAUAACUAGACCAAACAAAGUUUUGUUCUUAAAGUAUGAAGAUCUUAAAGAGGAUACAGUUUUUCAUGUGAAAAGAAUUGCAGAGUUCUUGGACUCUCCUAUCACUCAAGGAGGAGAGAGUACCGCAGUGAUUGAAAACAUAAUCAAACUAUGUAGAUUUGAGACGAUGAAGAAUUUGGAAGUGAACAAAUCAGGACAUAUAUACAAUAUUACAGAGAAUAAACACUUCUUUCGGAAGGGUGAAAUAGGAGAUUGGAUAAAUUACUUUUCUCCUUCAAUGAUAGAAAAGUUAUCCAAAAUCAUUGAAGAAAAAUUAGGUGGAUCAGGUCUAUCAUUUAAAGUGCAUUCCUAGAUUCCAAUGUAAUAUGCGGGUCUAUACGAGCCAACAUGUUGUAUUGUGUAGAACAACUGAUAUUGUGAUCUUUGCUUUUGAUAAAUAAAGAUGUACUGUUUUUACGCUUUUGAUAAAUAAAGAUGUAUUGUUUUUGCGCUUUUGAUAAAUAAAGAACUAUGUUUAUAUAGCUUCCAGCCAAUAAAAAAAAAAUUAUCUAGCUUCGAAGUUCUUCUCUCUUACAAUUCUUUAUCCAUGACUCUCGAAUUCUAUAUUAAGAAUUGCUCAGUGUUGUAUAUUAGGCCAUGUGGUAGAGAAGAAACACUUCUUUCGGAAGGGUGAAAUAACUACAACAAAAACAUCAUUUUUGUCGACAAAAGACGGAUGUAAAUCAAAUAAAAGUGAUGAAUAAAUGUCGGUAAUGCGUUGUCAAAAAAAUCGACGAGAAAAACAUGGAAGCAAAGUUAAUUUGUAUCAAUCAACAAAAGUGACACAAAUUAUGUAGGUCAAGCGGACAUGAAACACGUGUGAAUAGUGUGAAUAUCUAUGCAAAUUAUGUAGGUCAAGCCGAGAUAAGACAGACGAAUAUUAUUGGUGUGACACGUAAAAGAAAAAGAAAUAUCGUCCUUUCUUUUGGAAGGGACAAAACAGAAGAUGCUUCUCUUCUUCAUAUGCUUGCGGGCCUUCAGUCGAAGCCAUUGGAAGCUAUAGCUAUAGAAUGUGAAUGAUAACUCAGCAGUAACAGGUUGAUGAUAAUUUGCCAUAGUAAGGGAUAUGUUUUAUAGCGUCAUCUAGUGGUUCAAGUUGAUGAUUUGAAAUGAGAAACAAAUACUGUUUUACUGAAGCAAUAAUAAAUAUGAUUACUUACACAUAUUGGUUAAACUUGGUUUUUUUAAAACAAAAAAGAUGCCUUAUUGAAUGGUUUAGUGUGUUUCUUCCUCACGUGAUUUUCUGACAUGUGGGUUUUGGUGCAUUUUGUUUGUUAUGUUUAUUUGUAGAAGGGAUCUGAAAUUUUUUUAUUUUAUGGUCUCCUCUUUAUUAGUGUUAUGAAUUAACCCUAUUGUAAAAGAAUCAUUAACGUCCCUUCAAAAGAGUUACUAUGCAGUGUACGUGGCUGAAGGUGAAUCAUUAAAGUUCCUUUAUCAUUAAAUAUUAUUUAAUAAAUAUUUGGUUGUGAUUAUAAAUAUACCAAGGAUGGAAGAAUAGAAAGUAACUCCAAACAAACUAAAUACUACAAUUAAUACAAGUAAAAUGCUGGAAAUCUGGAAAUUAAUUUUCGAAGCUCUAUAAAAGCUAUCUCUUGCUAAGCUAUGUUAUCAUCCAAUUUUAUGAUAAAUUAAUUCUAUGAUAUUUUGUUUGAGAAGAAAAAUUUGAUUUGGAAAAUUACUUUUCUUCUUAUAGGAUAGAAAGUUAAGAAAAAUUAAGUGUAUCAAGUUUAUCAUUUAAAGUGAAUUUCUAGAUACCAAGGUAAUAUGCGAGUCCAUAAAACUCAACAUGUUGUAUUGUGUAGAACAAAUGAUAUUGUGAUUUGAUAAAUAAAGAUGUGUUUUUAAGUUUUGGAUAAAUAAAGAACUAUGUUUUUAUAGCUUCUCACUACAAGAAAAUAAUGAAAUAAAAACUAUUUUUUAGUGACAAAAAAUAAUUAGUUGCUAUAGUGACUAAAUUAGAUACCAUUUUAGAGACUAAAAAAUUUUUGGUUUGUAAAUUAGUUUCUAUUAUUGUUAAAUGAUUUCUAAAUUGGUAUAUAAUUAGCUACGUAUCAAGGUUUUCGUUACCAGAUUUAGAAACUAAAUAAUUGGUAGUUAAAACUAUGGUUACUAAUUAGAUACCAAUUUAGAAACCAUUUAACAAUAAUAAAAACUAAUUUAGAAACCAUUUUUUUUUAUUUUCUAAAAUGGUCUCUAAUUUAGUUACUAUAGCAACUAAUUUUUUUUUGUCUCUAAAAUUGGUUUCUAUUUCAUGUUACUAUAGCAACUAAUUUCUUGCAGUGUCUGGCCAAUAAAUAAUAUAUAGCUUCGAACUUUUUUUUUUCUUACAAUUUUUUCAACCAUGACUCUCGAGUAUUGUAUUAAGAAUUAUUUACUGUUGUAUAUUAGGCAAUAUGGCAAAAAAGAAACACGGAAGGAUGAAAUAUACAACAAAAACAUCAUUUUUGGACGGCAAAAGAUGGACAAAAAUAAAAGAAAACCGACAAAUAAAUGUUGCUUAUGCGUCGGCCAAGAAACCAACAAAAAAAGCGUGGAAACAAAGUUAAUUUGUGUCGGCUAGCAAGGGUAAUGUAAAUUACAUAGACCAAGCUUACGUGAGACAAACAUAAAUAUCGUUGACAUGAUCUUUGUAAAUAGGGAUGAAAUAUUGUCGGUGAGACCAACGUUGAUGUAUUAGAAAUGCCAGCAUGCGUUGACCAAGCAUAACACACAAAAAUAUCAAAAUUUGCGUCGGCCUAACUGGAGCAAAAUUGGACAAAACCAAAAAUAAAAAUAAAAAUAAAAGCUAGUGUGGACCUACAUCACACAAAAAUGGAAGCUAGAAAAAAUAUUAAAGAUUAAUAAUGAUUUGCAUGAACUUGGCUGACACAUGAAAAAAAAUGCAGUUUAUUUUUAUUUCUCUACCCAUUUUCACAUGUAAAAAGUUUUCAUAUCCAUUAUGAAAAACCAUCCAAAUUAUUCAAACAUCUAGAUAAUUAUCUAUUUCAUUUCACUUAUUAAAACUAUUAAAAUCAUUUAAAUAUCUAAAUAAUUUCAAGUUGAAUAUUAAUACAUAAAAUAGAACUUAGCAAUUGAAAUGUAUAAGUUUACUAUAAAAAUAAAGCAUAAAAUAAAAUUGUAAAUUAAAAAUUACAAAUUACAAAUUAACCAAAAGGACUAGAACUUGAAAGGUACCAUAAUACAAUUAUAUAAAAAAAAAUUACAACAACUAAAAAUAUGAAAUAUGUCCCAUGAAGUAAAAAUACCACUCAUGUGAUCCAUAAAAAUCUGUAAAAAAAAUACAAAUAAUGUGAAUAACUAAAAUAUUUAGUAUAUAACAAAACUGUAAAAUAAUUAAACUUACAGUCUGGGAUGUCCUUCAAGAAAGGGACUAGUCAUCAUACUUUGGAGAAUAUUGAUGUUGGAAUUAACUUGUACUAGUGGAAGCAUUACCACCAUGUUGCAACACCGUGACAAGUUGUUCCUUUAUUUCGUCCUCCAAGUAUAUAUGCAUACUUUUGAUCCCACAUGCUAACUUCUACACGAAAUUGAUGAUUUUCAGUCAACUAAUCAAAUUGAGAAGUGUCGGAACCAGAGGAAGGCAGAAAGAGGGAACAGAGCCAUUGAUGGAAGUUACUAACCAAGUCUGUCAUACCAAACUUAAUGUUAACAUUUUAUAAAUAUUUUAUUUAAUUUAUUAUUUUUUAUCAAUAAAAACAAAAAAAAAGUGUGUGAGCAUUAGAUUGGUGUCCCACAGUAGUAGCAGGUGUUGUUCAUUAUUUGUCAUUUACCCCACCUAUCAAUUAUAUGUCUGCAACCACUUUCUUUAACUCAUUUAAUUUGCAUUUUCAAAACAGUUUAGUUUAUGGCAGUUUGAGUUUUUAAGAUAAACAUUGCAUGUGGUCAGUUUUUUUGUAGGGUUAGCAUUUUGUCGUAGUGCUGAUUAUGUUGUAUGAACACAAAAGUGAAAGUUCACUAAUCAGAACUGGCAAUAAAAAGUUAAAGUUAGUUAAGUUCAAAAGUUAAAAAAAAAAGUAUUUUCUAUAAAAUAUAUUUAAAUUAUUAUUUUACUUUACGUUCUUUUAAAAUUAAAAUAUUUAUACAUAAUUUUUUAUAAUAUUAUUCGCAUUUUUAAAUUAAUAUAUAUUCACAAUUUUUUAUAAUAUUUAAUUUUUUUAAUUUGAUUAUUUUUUUGAAAAAAAUUAUUUAAUAAAUAUUUGUUUGUGAUUAUGAAUAUACUGAGGAUGGAAGAAUAAAAAGUAACUCAGAAAACACUGGAAAAUCUAGAAAUUAAUACAAGUAAAAAGCUGGAAAUCUAGAAAUUAAUUUAAUAAGUUCUAUAAAAGCUAUCUCCUGCUAAGCUAUGUUUUCAUCCAAUUCUAGUAUUCACUCACCAUUCAUAUUGAAGCCACUCCAAUGGCUUUGGCAAGUCACAAACAAGCAAAUGAAGAAAACGAAAUAAUCAUCUCCCUUCCCAAGGAGAGUGGUUUGGGUGCAGGACCCUAUCUCCAUCUAUUUCAAGAUUUUUGGUGUCCAACAAAUUCUGUUGAAGGAGUGAACAAGUUUCAAAAACAUUUUGAUGCAAAAGACAAUGAUGUUUUUGUUGCCAGCUUUCCAAAAUCAGGUACUACCUGGUUGAAAGCCCUUACUUUUGCCAUUGUAAACCAUCAACAGUUUUCCUCUUUCGACAACCAUCCAUUACUCUCUUCCAAUCCUCAUGAACUUGUGCCCUUCCCUGAAUUUAUGUAUUCUCAUGAUUUGCAUGACCAAAUUCUUUCCCUCUCCAACAAGAGUGAGCCAAGACUUCUUUCUACUCACUUACCAUUCCCUUCAUUACCUCAAUCCAUCACAAAAUCCAAUUGCAAGAUUAUUUAUAUAUGUAGAAAUCCAUUUGAUACUUUUGUUUCAGUAUGGGAAUUCUUUAAUAAAAUAAAGCCAGUGUCUUCACCUGAAUUCAUCUUCGAGGAAGCAUUUGAAAAGUACUGCAAUGGGAUAAUGGGGUUUGGUCCAUGGUGGAGUCAUAUGUUAGGUUACUGGAAGGAAAGCAUAACUAGACGAAACAAAGUUUUGUUCUUAAAGUAUGAAGAUCUUAAAGAGGAUACAGUUUUUCAUGUGAAAAGAAUUGCAGAGUUCUUGGACUCUCCUAUCACUCAAGGAGGAGAGAGUAACACAGUGAUUGAACACAUAAUCAAACUAUGUAGAUUUGAGAAGAUGAAGGAUUUGGAAGUGAACAAAUCAGGAUGUAUAUUAAAUGGUGUAGAGAAGAAAAAUUUCUUUCGGAAGGGUGAAAUAGGAGAUUGGAUAAAUUACUUUUCUCCUUCAAUGAUAGAAAAGUUAUCCAAAAUCAUUGAAGAAAAAUUAGGUGGAUCAGGUCUAUCGUUUAAAGUGCAUUCUUAGAUUUCAAUGUAAUAUGCGAGUCCAUAUUAGCCAACAUGUUGUAUUGUAUAGAACAAAUGAUAUUGUGAUCUUUGCUUUUAAUAAAUAAAGAUGUACUGUUGUCACGCUUUUGAUAAAUAAAGAACUAUGUUUAUAUAGCUUCCAGCCAAUAAAAAAAAUUAUCUAGCUUCCAAGUUCUUGUCUCUUACAAUUCUUUCAUCCAUGACUCUCGAGUUUUGUAUUAAGAAUUGCUCACUGUUGUAUAUAUUGGGCAAUGUGGCAAAGAUGAAACACUUCUUUCUGGAAGGUGAAAUAACUACAAAAAAACAUCAUUUUUUUUGUUGGUAGAAAUGAAAAUCAAUGAAUAAACAUCGGUGUUAUGUGUUGGUAAAGAAGUUGAGGAGAAAAGCGUGGAAGCAAAGAUAAUUUGUGUAGGUCAACAACAGCAACAUAAAUUGCGUGAGUCAAACUGAUGUGAAACUUAUGACGUAAACAGGGAUAAAAUAUCAUUGUUGAGAUCUACGCAAAUGUAUCAAAAUCGCCAUAAUGCGUCAACCAAGCAAAACGGAAAAAGAAUAAAAAUAAAUCAGAAUUUGCAUCGACCUAGCCGAUGCAAAAUUGGACAAACUAAAAAUAAAAAUAAAAGCUAGUGUGUCUAGCGUGACAAAGUGGGCUGGCUCACCCCGUGAGCAAAAUGUGGGUCGGGUUGGCCUGUCCUGCGCUAGGAGUGCGGUCUCAUUUUACUGAUCUACCCCGCAUAACUAGUAACCCGCGGACCAGCCCACAUAAACAAUUUUUUUCCAAAAAUUAAAAUUUAUAAUAUUGAAUGGAAAAAUGGUCUAAUAUAAAAUUAUUUAAAUAAGAGGAGACAGAAAGUUUUAUUGAGCUUAGUCAAUAUGGUUUUUGAAGUUAUUUAUACCACGACUCAUUUUAACAUAUAAAUAUACAUAAAUAUUAUUUGCAAAAAUAAUUUAGUAAAUAUGAAAAAUAAAAAUAAAAAGUAUUUUAGAAUUACUUAAAAUUUAUUUAAACUUUAAAAAUAUUGCAUUUUAUAUCAACCAUGUCAAAAUGCUUUCCCAUUCCAAGAAGGAUGAUUUAUUGUGUAAUAGACUUUAAAAUAUGUAAAUAAAAUAAACUUAAAUAAGUUUUAGAUUCUUGAUAUAUAAUAUUUUUUAUUUUAAGCAUCUAAUAAAUUUUUCUUUAAAAAAUACCUAAUAAAUUAUAAAAAAUUUAUUUAAACAUUUAUUAAUAUUUCCUCCCGUAAAGUAUUUGUAUAUUUUUCAAUUAACCUAAAAUUAAUUUAAAUAAAAAAGAUAUUAAGGAAAUACUUUCAACAUUUCUCUUUGCUUUAAUAUUUUUUUUAUUUAAAUUUUAAAUUACAAAUUUGAUUCCGGACUUGUCCUUUCUUUUUCCAUAUAAUUCUUGUCCUUUUCUCUCUUCUAUAGAUCAUAUCUUUAUUCAAUUUUUAUGCUUCAUCUUAUUUCUUUUUAUAUCAACCUCAUCUUUUUUCUUUACUAUAUCAUAAUGACAUUAGACUUUUGAUGGAUGUUAAAAUGUAGUUCAUCUACUUUCUUCUAUUUUGUACAUCAAACUUCCUUAAGAGAAAUCUAUCUUCUUUUUAUUUUAAUCCUUCUUUCAUAUCUUUUUCAUUGGUAGUCAAUUCCUUUUUCAUGAAAUCUAGAGAAAAACUUUAGUCUUUCAUAGGAACCUGAAUACUUCUAAGUUGUUUACAUCUUUAAUCUAAACAAAGUUUGUUUUCAAAUGACACCUUAUUAACCUUAAUUUACGGGUUGAGCAACACUUAAAUUUCGAUUAAUUUCAAGAAUAUAUAAGAAAUUAAAAAUCAAUUUGAGAAUUUUAAUUGUAAUUCCAAACAAAUUGUUCUAUAUAUCUAAUUCUUACUUUAAAAAUAUCAUAUUUGUUUAACUCUUUAAAAAGUUCUCGAACAUGAACCAUAUGUACAAUAACUAUUUAUAAGUCAACAUUUUUAUAUUUGUUGGUUGUAACAUGAUUUUGCAAGAAAUAAUUUUUCUUUUGAUUCAUCCUUUCCAAUCUUAACAUUUUCUUGGAGUGUUGUUUUGAUUGUAUUUGUUCCUUUUGUAAUUCUUCACUUCGAAAAAACAUUUGACACAAUGAAAUACCUUCAAUAACAUGGUCUUCUCUCAUGAAUUCAUUGUUCUUGUGGUUACAUGUACACAUCUACGAAAGUAAUUAUAUAUAAAUCUUUUGUGUUUUCAAUCAAAACAAUAAAUACUUCCUAUCUCUCUAGCACCUUUAUGAAAGUUACAAAGUUUUCACUUUAACUUUUCUUUUAUCGGCAAAAAAGAAUAAAAUAAAUGGAGGUAUUUUAGAGAUACCUCAACCCUUAUACAAAAACAACAACAUCCAUUCGCUAGCCACUCGUAACAUAACUUUGAAGUGACCCAUGACCAGACCUGCACCUGCACCAUUGUUCUUGGUAUAAUCGGAAUCCACCUAGGGGUUCCGUUUGUCCAAAGCCUAUUCGUUCUUCAAAAUCUCUUACGAGAGGACCUAGACGCUUGUACACACGAUCAUUCAUAUUAAUUGGUAUAGCUAGGACCUUCCAGUACUUUCAAUGAAAGAUUCAACACGCUCCACUUAAGCUACUAAGGAGAUGGAAGAUCGAAUAUCCGAAAGGAUGGAUAAUAGGUUUAUGGAACUCAUGAAUACGUUGAAGGAAACCUUGACUCUUUCUAUGAAGGACACCAUGCUGGAACUACUUACUCAAUCUCGAGGAGAAGGGCUCCAUGGCCUCUCAAAUGACAACAUGUGGUUUAGUGCAAUUGGCGAUGAUCCCAUGGCUGAGUUGUUGCAUCUACAACAAAAGACUUCACUUGAUGCCUAUCAUGAAGAGUUCAAUUCAAUCAUUACAAGAUUGAAGUUAUCUGAUGAUCAUAUUCUAAGGUGCUUCCUUGGUGGAUUACAGAAAGAAAUCCAAAUGAUGGUAAGAAUGUUCCAACCUAAGUCUCUACAACAUGUGUUUAACUUGGCCAGGACGUAUGAAGCAACUACUUCAAGCAAUUCGAUGGCCAAAUUCCACAGGGGAGUCUUGGGUCCAGCACCAGUGCCUAUAUCGUCGUCUGCUUCAAUCAAUGCGGCCCCAAACCCAAACCAACACGCCACUUAACAACGAAGUUCAUCAAGAUAUAAAAACCUUGGUUGCUAAUUAGAUACCAAUUUAGAAACCAUUUAACAAUAAUAAAAAUUAAUUUAGAAACCAAAAAUUUAUUUAGUCCCUAAAAUGGUCAUUAAUUUAGUCACUAUAGCAACUAACUAUUUUUUGUGUCUAAAAUUGGUUUCUAUUUUAUGAUUUUCUUGUAGUGUAAAGAUUACAUGAUAGAAGAAUAAGAAGGAAAUACUAAUAUUUAAGGCAUGAAAUUAUUAAAUUUAACAAGGAAGUUCAAACAACCAAUUAAGAAAUACUCAAAUAAAUUCUUCAAUGGUCUAAUAAGAUUAAAUUAUCGGAAAAGAGUUUUUUGAUUUCAGAUUAGUUGAGAAAAUUUUGGGGAAGAUAUCAAAAAACAAUAUUUUAUUUAAAAAAAAAUCUAUUUUUAUUCUAUUUCAUUUUAAUUUAUGUCCCAAAAAUUAACUCUUUCGUUUUCCAUUUUUAGUAAAAACUUCAUCAAAUGGUGAAAGAAGAAAGCUUAAGCAACAGGUUUUGUGGCAUACAUUAUAAAUUUGGGUUUUGAACAUGGUUGGACUGAGCUCAUCUAUUCAAUAAGGACAACAAAAUUUUGAAUAUGUAGUUUUCCCUUUAAAAUGAAGAGGAUGUUAACCAAUUAAUGUAACUUUAUUUGCAUAUUAUGAAAUGAGUUGCAUUACAUGGAAACUCAAUUUCUCAUUACCUCUCAUUUCGUCAGAACUUGCCACUAUUUGCAUAAAAUUCCUCAUUAUUAUAAUAUACUGCUACAUGCCUCAAACUUUAAUCUACUAUUAUAUAGCUGCAUCACACUUUGUUAUAAUCUAUAUUAUAUUUUACUGCAAAGUCAACUUCUUUUUGUCCUUUACAAUGUUAUUUUAAAAUAAUUACAAUGUUAGAUGAGUUGGGUUUAUUUAUUGAUUAGUUAGCCACCGAAAUUGAAAAUUAUUAUUGGCUCACUAGCCUUCAAAGGCAUCAUUCAAAAUAGUUUAUUACUAUUAUUUCCAUUGCACUGCACCCAAUCAAAGGCCUAAGGUUGAAACCAAAUUAUUCAGUUUCAUUCAUCCACUCCCUUUCCUCUUGUUACCGGUGCUCUUGUUUCAUUCAAUGGCAGAAAUUGUUACCGGUGCUCUUGUUUCUGUUGUCCUCGAAAGAACUAUUGACACUUUGGCUUCCCGUUUUGUCCACAUAUUUCGUGGAAGAAAACACAAAAAGAAGCAACUCAGCCACCUGAAGAUGAAGCUCCUAGCCAUUGAUGUUGUGGCUUUUGAUGCAGAACAUAAGCAGUUCACAGAUCCUCGUGUGAGAAAUUGGCUUCUCAGGGCCAAAGAUGUUGUGUUUGAUGCAGAAGAUCUCUUGGAUGAAAUAGAUUAUGAACUCUCCAAAAGCCAAGUGGAAGCUGAGUCUCACAGUGCUACUAACAAGGUGUGGAAUUCCCUCAAAUCUUCUUUUCUCAGUUUCUUUGAAAAUGAAAUUGAAUCCAGGAUGGAACAAGUCACUGAAGACCUAGAAGAUCUUGCAACCCAAAGCGAUUUUCUAGGUUUGAAAAAGGCUAGUGGUGUUGGGGUUGCACCAGGAUCGAGUAGUAGAUUAACAUAUACAUCUUUGCCAAAUGAAAGUGUUAUGUAUGGCAGAGAUGAAGACAGAGAAUUUGUGUUUAAUUUGCUCACAUCUGACAGUCACAAAAACCUAUCUAUACUUUCUAUUGUGGGCAUGGGUGGGUUGGGUAAGACCUCACUUGCCCAACAUGUAUUCAAUGACCCAAGGAUUGAAGGUAAAUUUGAUAUUAAAGCUUGGAUCAGUGUUCCACAGGAAUUUGAUGUUCUCAAUGUAUCAAGGGCCAUUCUUGACACAAUUACAGGUUCAACUGUUCAUAGUAUACAGCAGGAAGUUAUUCAGAGAACACUGAAAGAAAAAUUGACGGGGAAGAAAUUUCUUCUCAUUUUGGAUGACGUUUGGAACGAAAGGCAAUCUAUAUGGGAAGAUGUGCAGAAGCCCCUACUUUUCGGAGGCCAAGGCAGUAGGAUUCUUGUCACUACACGUAGUGAGAAGGUUGCUGUUACCAUGCGAUCAGAAAAGCACCUCCUGCAGGUAUUAAGGAAAGAUUAUUGCUGGGACUUGUUCGCAAAACAUGCAUUCCAAAGUGUUAAUCCUCAACCGGAUCCAGAGUUCAUGGAGAUUGGUAAGAAGAUAGUUGAAAAAUGUAAUGGGCUUCCUUUAGCCUUGAAAACAAUGGGAAGUCUACUAAACAGUAAAUCAUCCUUUUGGGAAUGGGAAAGCAUUAUGAAAAGUGAGAUAUGGGAUUUUUCAGAAAAUGAAAGUGAUAUACUCCCUGCUUUAAGACUGAGUUAUCACCACCUUCCUUCUCAUCUCAAGAAAUGCUUUGCUUUUUGUGCCUUGUUUCCAAAAGGUUAUAAGUUUGAUAAGGAGUGUUUAAUUCAACUGUGGAUGGCUGAGAAUUUUCUAGAAAGCCCUCUACAGAAAAGGAGUCCUACAGAAGUUGGAGAACAGUAUUUCAAUGAUCUGUUAUCUUGGUCCUUCUUUCAACAAUCAGGAAAUGGAAAAGAAAAGCAUUUUAUCAUGCAUGACCUUCUAAAUGAUUUGGCAAAAUUCGUUUGUGAGGACAUCUGCAUCAGGUUAGGAGUUGAUGAACCAAAAGGUAUACCCAAGACAAGCCGUCAUUUUUCAUUUCAUACCAAUGGUGUUACACGUUUUGAUGGGUUUGGAAGUUUAAUUGAUACUCAAAAGUUGCAUACAUUUAUGCCAACUGACAGGAGAAUGAAUAAUCCUUUUUCUGGCAUUUGGUAUUGUAAGAUGUCGAUAGAUGACUUGUUUUCCAAAUUUAAGUUCAUACGCUUCUUAUCUUUGUCUGAUUGUCGUAACCUUAGAGAGGUGCCUAAAUCUGUAGGAAAUCUUAAGCAUCUCCGUUCAUUAGAUCUCUCUUCUACUAAAAUAAGAAAACUACCUGACUCCAUAAGUUUACUCUACAAGUUGCAAAUCUUGAAGUUGAACUAUUGUCGAAAAUUGAAGGAGCUUCCCUCAUAUUUGCAUCAACUGGACAAUUUGCGAUGCCUUGAAUUUAUAAAUACUGGAGUGAAAAAUGUGCCAGCACAUUUGGGAAGGCUGAAGAAUCUCCAAAUAUUCAUGAGUUCGUUUUCAGUUGAAAAAUGUAAGGAAUUCAGUAUUCAGAAAUUGGGAGAACUCAAUCUUCAUGGAAGCCUAACAUUUCAUGAGCUGCAAAAUAUAGAGAAUCCCUCUUAUGCAUUAGAAGCAGAUUUGAAGAACAAACCACACCUUACGGAGCUACAGUUAGAAUGGAAUAUUAUGGGCAACUCCUCUGUUGAUUCAACCAAAGUUGGGGAUGUAAUUGAGAAUCUACGACCUUCAAAGCACUUGAAGAAGUUAUCAGUAAGGAACUAUGUUGGUAAACAACUUCCAAAUUGGUUACUCAAUAAUUCGUUACUGAAUUUGGUGUCCUUAGAGUUGAUGAAUUGUAUAUGUUGCCAAGGUUUUCCUCCGCUUGGUCUUUUGCCAUUUCUGAAGAAGCUGGGGAUUUCAGGGUUUGAUGAGAUAGUGAGUAUUGAUGCUGAUUUUCAUGGGAAUAACUCUUCUUCCUUUAAAUCCCUUGAAACAUUGAUCUUCUCCAAUAUGAGGCAAUGGGAAAAGUGGGAGUGUCAAGCUCUGACAGGUGCUUUUCCAUGUCUACGAGAACUUUCCAUAAAAGAAUGUCCGAAGCUGAAAGGACAGCUGCCAGAGCAAGUUGCUCUUUUGAAAAUACUAGAAAUUGAAGACUGCCAAGAACUUGAGUCAUCAAUAACUUAUGACUGUGUCUCUCUAUGUACCUUUCCAUUGGAUUUCUUUCAAACACUCACGACCCUUCAACUCAGUGGGUUUGGUAAUUUACAGAUGAUUUCACAAGGUCUCAUCCAUAAUCAUCUGGAGCAUCUGCAAAUAAUUAGGUGCCAUAAAUUAGAAUCAUUGCCUGCAAACAUGCAUACGCUGCUUCCAUAUCUGAGGACGUUAAGGAUAGAAGACUGUCCAAGACUUGAGUCGUUCCCCGAAGGAGGUUUGCCAUCAAAUCUAGAAGAUCUGAAAAUCAUUAAGUGCUCUAGACUUGUUGGAUCACUGAAAGGAGCUUUCGGAGACAGUUCUUCUUUGAAAUGGUUGAGGAUUGAAGAAGCGGAUGCAGAAUGUUUUCUUGAUGAAGGUUUGCUUCCACUCUCUCUUACUGAUCUAUCCAUCUAUUAUUGUCCAAAUCUAGAGAAACUGGACUGUCUCUAUCAACUCUCAUCCCUUCAAUCACUGAAACUUUUUGACUGCCCCAACGUCCAACGCUUACCAGAGGAGGGUCUUCCCAAAUCAAUUUCAUAUCUUGAUAUAAGCGAUUGUCCUUUGCUUAAACAGCGUUGCCAAAAAGGAGGCGAAGACUGGGAAAAGGUUGCUCACAUUCAAAACCUAUAUAUGUGUAUGUAUCUACGGAAGUAAAUAAUGUGGUUUUGGUGGGCUACAAUUUAUUUUUGUUUUGAAUGUGUAUCAACUAUUUUUCUCUUUUGUUGGUACUGCUGCAAAAUGUGUGUAACCAUUCACUCUUCCAUCAUUUUAAGUAGGAAAUGUAAAAUGCAAUAGUUAUAAAGCUUAAAUAAAUUUUAAGUUUCUAAUAUAUUUUUACAUAGAAGCACCUGUAAUGGGAUAUAGUUUUUAUAUACAAAAAGAAGGAUAACAAAAGGUCGUUAAAAAACAGUUUAUUAAAAUACAUUUAUGUGGUAAAUAAUCAAACCAAACUUCUCAAGGAUGCAGAGGUGAGAAAAUCAGCAGGAAGUGGUAGAAGGUGGGUGUAGCAGGAGCUGCGGUGUGGGGUAGCAAUUUAGAAGAUCUAUCUUCUGAGGAAAUGUGAUUGUAGCUGAUAGAAUGGGAUGAAGUCUAUUAUAAAAGCAUCCUAUGAGGCUUAUUCUAUAGGAAUUAUUGCUGUCUUGUAAGUGUGGGUGGGUUGAAGCACGAUUUUUCAUGCUCAAGCUGCAGAUGUUAGUUUAAAGUCUGGAGAAAUUCUACAAAAUCAAUCUUUGUCAUAUAUGAUAUGGUGUUUUCUGAUAUAAACGCAAUGUUUUCCUCUAGCCUUGGAAACAAUGGGAAGUCUGCUAUGCAAUAAAUCAUCCGUUUAAGAAUGGAAAAAUGUAUUAGAAAGCAAAAUCUUAUCCUCUUCUGAGGCAUCUUCUAUGUGAGUCUCUUUUUCAUCUUUUAUUUGAUCAUAUAUCCAAAAGGAGAAGUACUGUUGGCUUGAAUGUUCUGCACGAGGAUUUGAGUUCCUUCUCCUACUUCCCAUGUGUAACCGUAGAUUCUGGGCUUCAAACGGUGAGAAACUGGAAGAAUUAAUGUGGAGAGUGGGGAAGGAUGUAGGAUUUAGUUAUGAGGAGGGUGACGAGAAUAUAGUUCAUAAACUUAAAGUCUUAGAGAAUUUGGAUAAUGUUAUAUCUAAGCAAAAUGCAGGGAGGAGGAUAAUAAUGAUAAUCAUCUCAAUGAAUAUUCGCGGGAUUGGUGGUACAACGAAGAAGAGAUUUAUUUGAGAUUUAAUACAAAAAGAAAAGGCUGAAUAGUGUGUAUUAGGAAACAAAAAAGAAUGUCAUUAACUCUAAAAUGUGUUUUAAUCUUUGGGGUAGUAAUCAAUAUAUAGAAAGGAGACUCUUGGUUUUAAUAUCUUCAUUGAAAACAUGGUAUAAGGCAGAUGGAACUGCUAAACGUAGGAUUGAUAGAGUUCUUUUGUCAAAGGAGUGGUUGGAUAAGUGGCCCAAUAGUAAGCAAUUUGCCCUUGAAAGAGGUAUAUCCCAUCAUACUCCCCUUGCCCUAAAAGAGAAAAGGGACCUAAACCUUUUAGGUUUAUGAAUAUGUGGAGGGAGCAUGCUGGUUUUGAUGAAGUGAUGGACAAACUGUGGUAACAAAAAGUCCGGGGCAUUAGUCAUAUGUCUAAAUGGAAGAAAAAGUUGAAAGCUGUUAAAAGGGGGUCUUAAGGAAUGGAACAGGGAGGUAUUAUUAAGGACCUUGACAGCAAAGAUGACCUAGGAGUUCUUAUUAUGCAAGAAACACAGCUUUAGGCAACAAAUGUUGGCUGAAUUGUCUCUGCUGGAUCAUAAAAUUGAAGCUUUCUUAGCCAAAAAGCUAGGGUAAGCUGGAUUAAGGAUGGAAAUACAAAUUCUAAAUUUCCAAGUGGAUGUAAUAAUCCUUUAUUACAUAUUAUAACUAUUGUUAGAUAUUUCUAUCGACUUAGCCCAUAUUUUCUGUAUGUUUCUUUUUUAUAUAAAGAUAACCCUUUGUGUUCAAUAUACACAAGGGAUUUAUCUUAUUCUUUUAUUUUAAAAUGGUAUCAAAGUCAUAUAGAGCCUAACCUAGCGAGAGUUUGUUGGGCUUAUCAACCCACCCAUCGGGUUGCUAUCGGACCACCCAUAAAUAUAUGGUCUCAUGCACAAGUUUACCGUCUUGAUAUGAGGGGUGUGUGAUGGCGAUCCCACAUCCAUUAGAAAUAAAGACAUUUCAAAGUAUAUAAGUGGGUGCAAACCUCACCUUAUAAGCUAGUUUUAUAAGGUUGAGUUAGGCUUAUAGUCCACUUCUUAACAGUCCCUAAAGUAGUUUGUCCCUAGGAUUUUAAUGACUUUCAACCCAUAUUUCUAAUUGGCUGUUUGUCCAAAAUUUCUUAAUUUUUUUAGUAAAUAGGCUAGAAAAGGUCAUCCCAAAGGUUAUUGACCAAUCUCAAUCAGCAUGCUUAGAAGGAAAGGCCUUCUUGAUAGUGUUUUGGUGACAAAUGAGACACUUGAUGAGGUCAAAAGUAAAGGUAAGAAGUGCAUUAUUGUAAAGGUUGAUUUUGAAAAAGUUUAUGACAUGGUGAGAUGGGAUUAUUUGGAACAUAUGAUGUCUAGACUUGGUUUUUGUAGUACUUGGAUUAGGUGGAUGAUGAGUUGUCUUAAAUCCGCAUCUAUCUCGGUUUUAGUCAAUGGUAGUCCAACUAAGGAGUUUAAGCCACAAAAAGGUCUUAGACAAGGAGACCCUAACACCUUUUCUGUUUCUUGUUGGGGUAGUUAGGCAAGCAUUGGAAAAGGUUGUCAUUAAAGGUAUCAGAGUUGGACAUAAUGAGAUUCAAAUUGGGUUUUCACAGUUUGCAUAUGACACUUUGUUCAUACGUGAAACGGGUAUGGGGUGUGUUGUAGCAAUAAAAAACAUUUUAAGAUGUUUCCAACUUAUGUCAAGGUUGAAAGUGAAAUUUAGAAAAAACAAAAAUUAGGGGAAUGGGGUUGAAAUUUUUGAACUAGAUAGAUUUCUUUGAUGCUUAAUUCUACACCCAUGAACUUACCUUUUAAGUAUUUAGGCCUUUGGGUUGGGGGAAACCAGUCCAGAUAUUCUUUUUGGGAGCCUGUGAUUAAUAAGAUUAGGAGUAAGAUAGCAGUCUAGAGAGAAAAUUCAUAUCUUUUGCCCGGUAGGGUAUGCCUGAUUAAAUAUGUUCUAACUACUAUACUUCUCUAUUACUUAUCCCUUUUCAAGAUUUCGAUAGAAGUGGAAAAACCUUUUAGGAAAAAUCAAUUGAAAUUCUUAUGAGGCUGGGGAUUUGAAUCAAGGAAAAUUUCCUGGGUGAAGUGGACGGAUAUAUGCAAGAAAAGGGAAUUUAGGGGUUAGGAGUUAAAGAUUUGAAAAGGUUUAAUGCAACUUUAUUAGCUAAAUGGAUAUGUCGAUUGGGAUUAGAAUUAACUAGGAAAUGAAGAGAUAUUUUAGAAUCUAAAUAUGGGGGUUGGUGGAACAUAGUGGACUGUCACGUUAGGAAGGAAUCUAGAUGGUGGAAGAUAUUAAGAAAAUAGGAAUAUCUGCUUUUGGGAAUUGGUUAUGGGAUAAUGUAUCUUGGGAAGUUGGAAAUGGUAGAAAUAUUCUUGUUUGAAAUGAUAAGUGGUUGGGCGAUAUAGUGUUAUCUGAAUUAGAAUGAUAAGUAGUUAGUGUUAUCCGAAAAAUGGCCUGGGAUUUUUUCAAAUGCAAAAUCUAAGUCCAUAUGUCUGAGGGAAGUUGGUGAGUGGGUUAAUCGAAGAUGGUUGUGGAAGUUGGAAUAGAGAAGACUUUGGUUCUGAUGGGAAAAAUGGAUGGUAGAAAGUUUUAUAGGCUUUAUUGAAUGAGCUAAUCUCCAUAGGCAUAGGCUGAUAAGUGGAAGUGGAUCAAAACUGAAGAUCAUAUUUUUUUCUGUCAAAACCACAUAUGAAAUCAUAGAUGUGAGGGAGUUAGAAAUGUGGGAAAGUAUCUAUACUGAGUUAUGGUGUGUUAAAUUUCUUCGGUCUGGAAAACUGUUUGUUUGGCACUUGUUUAAACAGAGAGUAACAAUCGGUUGUUUCGUGGUUUCAACCGAUUGUUUCUUUGAAAAUCCUAACAGAAUUUUGUUUUGGUUGUUGAAUGUGCUUUACAUGAUUUUCAACUGAAUACGCUCCUUUAUUAAUUGUUUUGACCAAUCUUUGGAAAAUAUAAAUGGUUUGUUUAUGUUUUCAAACAAGCAAGUGAAACAGAUUUGAGUUUUUUAGUUGUGAAGAAGUUGAUUCUAAAGAUUUGAACAUUCACAUCAAGCUUUGGGUUUUUCAAAGAGAGUGGAAUAGGAUUGCAAUUGUAUUGAGUUCAUUUUGUAUUGUGAACAAGUGUAAUCCCUUCUCAAUCUACUGUAUUUCUGGUGUUAUGUUGCCAAGGAGUGUUGUGUGCUCUUAAGGUGGUCAAGAUCAAUACCCUUGGUGUGUUUUGCCAAAGCGAGUGCGUUUCUUGAAGGGUUCAAGUUAGUACUUUGGUGGUUUGUGUGUUGUAAUCUGGUUUAAUUACUUAGUCGAUUACCCAGUGGUUUUCUGAGGACUGGAUGUAGCUCUUGGCUUAAGAGUGAACCAGUAUAAACUAUUGGUGUAUCUCUCUCUUACUCUAAACUCAUUUAAAUUUUGUUUUAAGCUUUAUUGGUAUAAACAAUCGAUAGUUUCAAAGAAACAACCGAUUGUUUUUCUGUUACUUUGCUGUUUUAUUGCUUAUAUUCUGGGCUAACUUGAUUUAUGUUCUGGAUUCACACAAAGAAUUUCAUUAAACCUCAAAAAGUUUUCCAAAACCUUUCUUAAACAAUUCACACCCCUCUCGUUUAAGGCCAUAUAUUCUAACAGUUUGCACAUGAGAAGGCACGUCCAUAAAUAAAUCACAAAAAGAAGAUACGGAUUAGAAAAGCCAGGACGUUUUCUUUUUGGAAAACCAGUUUUGUUCAGUAUCGGUCUGGGACUUACUACACCUUACUCCUUGGGUAUUUUGGUCUAAAAAUUUUACCAGACAUUCAUCAUUGUGUCUUUUGAGUUUUGGCUGAGAAUUGAGCCCUAGAUUCGUCCCACAAGAUUCAUAAUUAAUUUUUAAUUCAUCAUUACCACGACUGAAAGGAAGGUUAGUUUGUGUGUGAAACUGUUUGAUUUUUUCCCUAGGCGAAUACUCAUCCGUUUGACCUGAAAUUUGUCACAUUUUGUCUCAAAUUCAUUUGAGAUUCUUACGUGGAAUUUCAGGAAAAAACUAUUUUGAGUUAGUUUUUCAAAAAUUUUGUGCAAACCAAGACUAUCCUCUACCACAACUUUUUGUAACUUUUUUCUUGGUUCGUACUGCGCUGAAAAAAUUCACACAAGUACUUUCCUAUGUUGUUUCCACCUAAGGAGGCACAACCAUAAAUAAAUCACAAAAAGAAGAUACAGGGUAGAAAAUCCAGGAUGUUUUGAUUUUGGAAAAACAGUUUUGUUCACUCUCGAUCUAGGACUUACUACGCCUUACUCCUUAGGUAUUUUGGUCUAAAACUUUCACCAUACAUUCCUCAUUGUGUCUAUUUAGUUUUGGUAAAGAUUUGAGCCCCAGAUUCAUCCCACAAUAUUCACAAUAAAUUUUUUACUCCUCACUACUAGGGUUGAAAAGAAGUUUCGUUUAUGUGUGAAACUGUUUGAUUUUUUCCCUAGCUGAAUACUAAUCCGUUUGACCUGAAAUUUGUCGCAUUUUUUCCUAAAUUCAGUCGACAUUCUUACGUGUAAUUUCAGGAAAAAACUAUUUCGGGUGAGUUUUUCAGAAAUUUUGUGCAAAUCAAGGCUAUGUUCUACGAAAACUUGUGAAAUUUCACCCUACUUUUUGCAAUUUUUUUCUGGGUCCGCAUUACGUUGAAAAAAUUCACACAAGAAUUUUCAUAUGUUGUUUGCACCUAAGAAGGAACGUUCAUAAAUAAAUCACAAAAGGAAGAUAUGGGGUAGAAAAGAAAUGACUUUUUCUUUUUGGAAAACUAGUUUUCUUCACUCUCGGUCUAGGACUUACUACGCCUUAGUCCUUGGGCAUUUUGUUCUAAAAAUUUUACUAGACAUUCGUCAAUGUGUCUAUUGAGUUUUGGCUGAGAGUUGAGCCCCAGAUUCCUCCCACAAUAUUCACAAUUAAUUUUUAAAUCAUCACUACCACCGCUGAAAGAAAGGUUAGUUUGUGUGUGAAACUGUUUGAUUUUUUCCCUAGGUGAAUACUCAUCCGUUUGACCUUAAACUUGUCGCAUUUUUUCUCAAAUUCAGUCAAUAUUCUUACAUGGAAUUUCAAGAAAAAACUAUUUCGAGUUAGUUUUUCAGAAAUUUUGUGCAACCCAAAGCUAUCCUCUACCAAAACUUGUGAAAUUCCUACCUAGUUUUUGUAAUUUUUUUCUAGAUUCGUAUUGCGCUGAAAAAAUUCACACAAGUACUUUCAUAUUUUGUUUGCACCUAAGGAGGCACAACAAUAAAUAAAUCACAAAAAGAAGAUACAUGAUAGAAAUGUGAGGACGUUUUGUUUUUGUCAAACCAGUUUUGUUCACUCUCGAUCUGGGACUUACUACGCCUUACUACUUAGGUAUUUUUGUCUAAAAAUUUUCCAGACAUUCAUCAUUGUGUCUAUUGAGUUUUGAUUAAGAUUUGAGUCACCGAUUCGUCACACAAGAUUCGCAAUAAAUUUUUUAUUCAUCACUAUCAUGGCUGAAAAUAAGGUUCGUUUGUGUGUGAAACUGUUUGAUUUUUUUCCUAGGUGAAUACUCAUGCGGUUGACCUUAAAUUUGUCACAUUUUGUCCUAAAUUGAGUCGAGAUUCUUAGGUGGAAUUUUAAGAAAAAAAUAUUUCGGGAGAACUUUUCAGAAAUUUUGUGCAAACCAAGGCUCUCAUCUACCAAACCUUUUGAAAUUUCACCUUACUUUCUGCAAAAACAAAUUGGGUCCGUAUUGCGCUGAAAAAAUCCACACAAGUACUUUCAUAUGUUCUUUGCACCCAGGUAAGGAGGCACGUCCAUAAAUAAAUCACAAAAAGAAGAUACGGAGUAAAAAAGACAAGACGUUUUGUUUUCGCAAAACCAGUUUUGUUCACUCUCUGUCUAAGACGUACUACGCCUUACUCCUUAAGUAUUUUCGUAUGAAAUUUUUACCAGAUAUUCGUUAUUGUGUCUAUUGGGCUUUGGCUAAGAUUUGAACCCCAGAUUAGUCCCACAAUAUUGGCAAUAAAAAUUUUAUUCAUCACUGCCAGGGCUGAAAGGAAGGUUCGUUUGUGUUUGAAACUGUCUGGUUUUUUUCCUAAGUGAAGACUAAUCCGUUUAUCAUUAAAUUUGUCGCAUUUUGUCUUAAAUUUAGUCGAGAUUCUUAUGUGGAAUUUCAGGAAAAGUCUAUUUCGGGAGAAUUUUUCAGAAAUUUUGUGCAAACCAAGGUGAUCCAGUACCAAAACUUUUGAAAUUUCGCCCUAUUUUGUGCAAAAAAAAAUGGUUUGUAUUGCGCUGAAAAGAAUUCACACAAGUAUUUUCAUAUGAUGUUUGCACUCAGGUAAGGAGGCACGUCCAUAAAUAAAUCACAAAAAAAAAGAUACGGGGUAAAAAAGCGAGGACGUUUUGUUUUCGGAAAACCAGUUUUGUUCACUCUCAAUUUGGGACUUACUACGCGUUAUUCCUUGGAUAUUUUGGUAUGAAAAUUUUACUAGACAUUCGCCAUUAUGUCUAUUGAGUUUUGGUUGAGACUUAGGGUCUAGAUUCCUCCCACAAGAUUCGCAAUAACAUUAUGAAACUGUUUGAUUCUUUUUGUAUGUGAAUACUCAUCUCUUUGACAUGAAAUUUGUCGCGUUCUGUCCCAAAUUUAGUGUAGAAUCUUACGUGAAAUUUUAGGGAAAACCUAUUUCAUGAGAAAUUUUCAGAAAAUUUCGUGUAAACCAAGGCUAUCCUCUACCAAAACUUGUGAAAAUUUCCCCCUACUUUCUGCAGUUUUUAUUCUGCGUCCGUAUUGCGUUGAAAAAAUUAACACAAGUAUUUUCAUAUAUUGUUUGCAGCCAGGUAAGGAGACACGUCCAUAAAAUAAUCACAAAAAGAAGAUAUGUGGAAGAAAGGCUAGGAAGUUUUGUUUUCGGAAAACCAGUUUUGUUCACUCUCGGUCUGGGACUUACUACGCGUACUCCAAUAGUCCCACAUCGCUUAGUAGUAGAUGCCAAGGACAAUUUAAAUAUAAUUUCCUCCAUUAACACCCAAAUCAAACCUUUUUCUUCAUUUCUUUAAUCUCUGAGAGAUGAAGACUUCCUUUAUUGUAGCCCAUCUCUAAUUUUUCUUUUUAACAUAUCGUAUUUCCCGAAUCCAUUUGGAAAGUUAGAGAAGAAGAAGGUUGUGAAGUUAUGUGAUGAUUGUUGAGGUCUGCGAAUGCGAAUGUUCUCAUAGAACCCUCUUGGCAUUGCAAUUGUUAGGAGAGAGAGGACAGAAAAAAAAUUUCUUAUUACCAACUUAAUCUGAGAAAAAAUAAUAUAUAAUUUAAUUAAUAUAGAAAUUGAUUAUUUUUUAUAUCUAAAUUAAUUUUUGUUUACCUAUUUUCUUGUAGAGUUAUCUUGCAGAAAAAAUCUAUUACAAUGUUAAAUUCAAAAAAUUGCAGAGUUAUCUUGCAGAUGUUUUUCUCUUUGGGGGAAUAACAAAAUUGGGUGGAUUCACAACAAAGUAGACGAUGGAAGUGGAAGCUUACUGUCUAUGUGGCAUAAAAAAGUAUUUGAUUAUUAAAGUCAUCUGAUGGGAACAUGCUUUAUUAUCAUCUACGGCCAAUACAUCAAAACUUCCUAUAGGUGUGCGGUUGUAAAUGUCUACUUUCCAUGCUUGUUGAAUGGAAAGAAGACUUUAUGGAAGGAUCUUGUUAAAGCAAAAUUGGCAUCUAACGUAUUAGCUUGGUGCUUUUGUGGUGAUUUCAACGCGGUAAGAAGUAGAAGUGAAAAGAAAGGCAUCAGUGGUAGGGGAGAGCAGUCAAGUGAGGUAAUUGGCUUUAAUAGUUUCAUUGACUCCAUCUUUUUCUUAGAGUUACCUCUAGUAGGUAAGAAGUUUACGUGGUUUAAACCGGAUGGAACAACAAAGAGUAGAAUAGAUAGAGUGCUUGUAGAUUAAGAUUGGUUACAGCUCUGACCCAUGAGUAAACAAUAUGUCCUACGAAGGGAAGUGUCAAACCACUGUGCUCUGGUGGUUAAGUCUGUGGAGAAGGACUGGGGUCCUAAACCUUUCAGAACCAUUGAUGCUUGGUUCUUGAAGAGAGGAUUCAAUAGGAUGGUGCAGGAUAAAUGGCAGUCCUACUAGGUGCAGGGGUAUGGCAUGACGAAGGUUAAAGAAAAGUUGAAACUUCUCAAAUCAGAUUUGAAGUCUUGGAAUAUGGAUGUCUUUGGCAACCUUGACACCGAAAAGAGGAGGAUUCUACAGGAUCUGGAGGCUUUAGACUGCCAAGAUUGCUUUGGGGGUCUAGUGGAAAAUGACAGGUUGAAAAGAUUGGAGUUGGUAAGCCGUCUGAAAGAGAAUGAUAAGAAAAUUGAAUCCCUCAGUUGUCAAAAGGCGAGAGAAAGUUGGUUUAAGAAUGGGGAUUCCUGUACCAGAUUCUUCCACUCAUCUGUGAGGUGGAGAAGGCUCAUAAACAAAGUGAAUGGUGUCCAGGUGGGGGACCAAUGGUGUGAGGAAGCAAACACUGUCCGUUUAGAAGCUAAGAAGCUUUUCGAAGAUAGAUUUAGAGCAACGAAAGAUUUGGGGUAAGGUUGGAUGAAGUUGAGUUUAAGUCACUAUCUCUGAUUGAUAACGAGGGUCUCCUAGUUGUGUUCUCUGGGAAAGAGAUUAGGGUUGCAAUGUGACAGUGUGAAGGAUCAAAGAGCCCUGGACCAGACGACUUCAACUUUAACUUCAUUAAGAAGAGUUGGGAUUUCUUAAAAGAUGAUAUCAUGGCAGCGCUGACCCUGUUUCAUGAAACGGGGAGUAUACCGAAGGGUUGUAAUGCUUCCUUCAUAUCUUUGGUUCCUAAAGUCAGGGAUCCCUCUAAGCUCGAGCAAUAUAGACCCCUCUCAUUAGUUGGAGCACUUUACAAAAUUAUUUCUAAGGUGUUAGCUUUUAGAAUGAAGAAGGUGUUGCCUGCUCUGAUAGAUGAAUGUCAAUCAGCUUUUGUAAAAGGAAGAGGGAUCUUAGAUAGUGUGCUUAUGACAAAUGAAGUUGUAGAAUACCUAAGGGGAAAUCGGAGAACAGGGUUAUGCCUAAAGGUGGACUUCGAAAAAGCAUAUGACUCGGUUAGAUGGGAAUUCUUAUAUGAUAUGCUAUCCAGGAUGGGGUUCCACAACCUAUGGAUUGUUUGGAUUAAAGGAUGCCUGGAAUCCACAACCUAUGGAUUGUUUGGAUUAAAGGAUGCUUGGAAUCCACCUCUGUGUCUCUACUAGUCAACGAGAGCCCUACAGAGGAAUUCAAGCCAACAAGAUGGUUGAGGCAGGGAAACCCCCUUGCACCCUUUUUGUUCUUAGUUGUAGCUAAAGUCCUUGUUGGGUUAGUUCGAAGAGCUAGCAAAAUCGACUUGCUAACGGGCCUCAAGAUUGGAAGGAAGGAGAUAGAGGUGUGUAUCCUCCAAUUUGCGGAUGAUACUCUCUUCCUAUGUGAAGACUCCCUUAAUAACAUGGUAACCUUGAAGGCCAUCCUAAUGGGUUAUGAAUUAGUCUCAGGAUUGAAGAUUAACUUCCACAAGUCAAAGCUAACGGGCUUUAAUGUUCAAAGUAAUGUUGUAGCUUAUUACACAAAGACCUUGAACUGUACCCAGAUGGGGUUACCGUUUAAAUACCUGGGCCUUGAAGUGGGAGGUAACCCCAGGAAGAAGCAGUUUUGGAAACCGGUCAUUAAUAAGUUAAAAACAAGGCUCAGUGUGUGGAAAGGGAGAUUUUUAACCAUGGCAGGGAGAAUUUGCCUUAUUAACUCUAUUAUAACCGCUAUUCCUCUGUAUUAUCUCUCUCUUUUCAAAGCACCGAGCCCAGUCUGAAAGAGGAUUACUAGUAUCCAGAGAAGAUUCUUAUGGGGUUGGGGGAAAGUGAGCAAGCCAAUCUAUUGGGUAAGUUGGAAAGACGUAUGCAGACCUAGAGAGGAGGGAGGACUGGGUUUAAGAGAAAUAUGUAAGUUUAAUUAUGCCCUCCUAGCUAAAUGGAGAUGGCGUUGUAUCUCUCAAGAGGAAGGGAGGUGGAAAGAGAUUCUGGUCUCAAAGUAUGGGCUAGAGCCUGGAAAUGCCCAAACACCUGUCAAACUUCAAUCUUGGUGGUAGAGAGAUCUUUCCAAAGUGUGCAAGGAGGGAGGAGGAAAAGGAUGGUUCCAAGAAGAAUUAAGUUGGGAACUAGGCUAUGGAGACAAAGUAAAGUUCUGGGAGGAGGUGUGGGUUGGUAGUAAUGGUCUUAAAUCCAUGUUCCCCAGAUUGUAUUCACUGUCCUAAAUCAGGGCCAAACAGUGCGUGAAGUUGGUGUGUGGAUUAAUUCGGAAUGGAGAUGAAGUAUGGGGUGGAGGCGUGCCAGAUUUGAGUGGGAAUCCACAAUGGAAGCUGAUCUUGCUACGUUGUUAUCUGGGGCACCCAUGAAAAAGAAUGUCAUGGAUGUGUUGUUGUGGGGGAAGGAAGUACCAGGGAUAUUUACAGUGAACUCCGCUUAUGAGCGCCUAGCUAAACAAACUAGAGGUACCCAAUCUGAAGUGUUUUUUCUCGUUUGGAAGGCAAAGGCAUUUCCAAAUGUGGUAACAAUAACUUGGAGAGUACUGCUGGAUAGAAUUCCAACAAGGGUGUGCUUGAGCAGGAAAUGGUUGAUGAUAGAUACGACGCUUUGUGCAAUGUGUCAGGCCAAGGAGGAGUCAUGCCAACAUCUCUUUCUGGAGUAUAAAUAUGCUCAAAGGGUUUGGUCCUUGUGCUUCAAAUGGAUAGGUAUUUCUUUUGUUCAACAAAAUGACUUAAACUCGCACUUCCUGAGUUUUUAUCUGAGCAAAGCUAGUAAGAAGCAAAAUCUGGUAUGGAAAGGUGUUUGGGCAUCAAUUAUUAGAUGUAUCUGGGAUCAAAGGAACCUGAUUGUAUUCAAACAAGGGCUAGUAGAUGCGGAGGAGGUGUUUCAAAAGGCUCAACUCAAAUCCUUGUUCUGGAUGAAGCCUAAAGUGCAUUCCUUUAUCCAUUCCUUCGUAGACUGGGUUCUCAACCCAAUGUUAUGCAUUAAAAGCUAUAAUUAGGAUCUCAGGUGCCAAGAAUAGUUAAGCUUAUGGUGCAGUAGCUGGUUUGGGAAGAGGGUUGCACUAUUGUUUUGUGGUUUUUAAGUUGUAGAUGUAGGGGUACUAGUGUUUAAUUCUAUGGCCUGUGCUGGUAUGCAUACCUGGGUUGAGGUACUGGAGCUAGUGUUAGAUGGAAGUGGGAAUUAUCCCAAUUUACCCUGUUGCUGUGAUGCUAUGAUGUUCUUUUGGUUUAUCUGGGUUAAGGUUUUUGCAUUGUAUGGGAACCUUAUGAUUGGUUAUCUAUGAAGCCAGAUAUGGUUGUCGAUGCUGCAAUGGGUAUGUAGGUGUGCACAGGGUCUGUGGAAGCAGUUCUAGAAGGUCAUGUCAAGGCUGUUAUAUCUCUGUUUUUGCACGCAGUGUGACUUGGAGGGCUCCCAGUUUGCUAUCACAUUCUCACCUAGUUGGUUUGCUUUGUAAUGGAAGAAGGAGAAUAGUUGGAGGAGUUAACUGCAAUGUCCAGAAGUUGAGGGUGUGGUGUGGUGUACUAACUUGAUUUCAUGGUUGCAAACACGAGUCACAGUUAUGUUAGUCAAAGGAGGGGCUUGAUGGAGCUGUUGUGCAUAACAGGGAGCAGAUGGAGCUAUAGGGGUUUAAUACUAAGUAAGGAGGUUUAGGAGGAAAAGGCUUGGAAGUGAUUUGAAGAAUAUUUAGGAGACUUUAACUUCUGAUAUAGUCAUCUCAGGAUAAAGGGAUCUAAGCUGGGAAAUUAUGUGGGAUCCAAGUUAAAGAAUCAACAUCCAAUCAUUCUAAGAACGAGAUGGGUUGUUGGCUUGGCUGCUAAACAUGCUGGUAGGUUUUUAAGACAAACUGAAUUCCAUGUUGGAUUUAAAGGCCUAAUCAGCUGGCUAUCUACAGAGUCUAAUGUUAGAAACAGGGUGAAACUUAUGCUCAUUUUGGCGUAUUCUGGUCUGGAGAAAAAAGGUGAGUGCAUUGUUCUUUCCUGAAGUGAUUUGAAGCUAAAGGAAUAUCAAUGACUAGAUGGAGGUUUCUUUUCUUUUGGUGAGUUUCGGUGGUUUAGAAGUUGCAGAUUGCAACUCUUGAAGCAGACCUUGCGAGGAAGGUGCUUGCUGGUGCAGGUGUUUCUUAGUUUAUGCAGCAAAUAUCACUUUUCUAAUGCUUUUGGGGUGUAUUCGGAGACCUCUUAAGGUGGACUUUGGGUUGUGUAAAAGGGUUGGAAUAUCCCUAUUAUAUCUCUUUAAUUUAAUUUCAUUCUUUGCUGAUAAAAAUAAAAUUCUUUUUUCUCUAUGUUCUCUCUUAUUCAUUAUGAUUAGGGUUCUUGUUCUCACUGCUUCUCGCAUCCAAUAUUGCUCUAAUAGUUUGGUUCUUGAUUUUUUUUUAUCUAAAGUUAAAAAAAUCGUUAUUUUAUUGUGAUUUUAAAAUGAAUUUUUGAAAUUUAACAAAAGUUAAAAAAAAUCCGCUAUAUUUUGUUGAGUUUUUAAAAUAAUUUUUGAAAGUUAACAAAUGUUAAAAAAAACCUCCAUUAAUUAAAUUAAUUUCUAGAAUUAUAUUAAUUUCCGCUAAAUAAUUUCCGUUAAAAUCAUUUUCUAUUAUACGCAAUUAUAAUAAUACACGUUUGUUUUGAUACAAAUGUUUUAAUAAUUUUUGUUAUAUUUUUUUCUAUAUGUUAUGAAAAUAUAUAUUAAUUAAAGAUUUUUUUGUUAUUUGAGAAAUAUAUAUAUAUAUAUAAUAUUUUUCUAUAUGCAUUAUAAGUAUUUUAUUUAUUUUAUUCAUUCUUUAUUAAUACAAAAUAAAUAAAAUCUGCUAGCAUUAGGUUGUUGCUCCCACAUAGCAAAAAAGAAAAGUGUGUGAGCCCCCACAGUAGUAGCAAGUGUCGUUCAUUAUUGCUCAUUUACCACCCCUUUCUUUAACUAAUUUUUGGACCAGAUUUAAUUAAUUUUAUUAGGUUGUAUAUGGCAAUAAAAAGUUAAAGUUAGUUAAUUUAGAAUUUAAGAUUUAAGAUUUAUUUAAUUUUAAAAAAAUAUUUUUUAUAAAAAAAUAUUUAAAUUAUUAUUUUAUUUUACGUUCUUUUAAAUUAAAAUAUUUAUACAUAAUAUUUUAUAAUAUUAGUUGCAUUUUUAAAUAAAUAUAUAUUCACAUUUUUUUAUAAUAUUUUAUUUAUUUGAUAUUUUUAUAGAAAAAAAUAUUUAAUAAAUAUUUGGUUGUGAUUAUGAAUAAAAACUAUUUUUCUAUCAUAUGGAAGAAUAAAAAGUAAAUCCAAAAAAACUAAAUACCACAAUUAAUACAAGUAAAAAGCUGAAAAUCUAGAAAUUAAUUUAAAAAGUUCUAUAAAUGCUAUCUCGUGCUAAGCUAUGUUAGCAUCCAAUUCUACUAUUCACUCAUCAUUCAUAUUCAAGUUGCUCCAAUGUCUUUGGCAAGUGAGAAAGAAGCAAAUGAAGAAAAUGAGUUCAUCCUCUCCCUUCCCAAGGAGACGGGUUUGAAUUUCACUCCCUAUCUCCAUCUAUUUCAAGAUUUUUGGUGCCCAACAGAUUAUGUUCAUGGAGUGAACAAGUUUCAAAAACAUUUUGAUGCAAAAGACAAUGAUGUUUUUGUUGCUAGCUUUCCAAAGUCAGGUACUACCUGGUUGAAAGCUCUUACUUUUGUAAUUGCAAACCAUCAACGUUUUUCCUCUUUCGACAACCAUCCAUUACUCUCUUCCAAUCCUCAUGAACUUGUGCCCUUCCCUGAAUUUAUGUAUUCUUAUGAUUUGCAUGACCAAAUUCUUUCCCUCUCCAACAUGAGUGACCCAAGACUUCUUUCUACUCACCUACCAUUCCCUUCAUUACCUGAAUCCAUCACAAAAUCCAAUUGCAAGAUCAUUUAUAUACGUAGAAAUCCAUUUGAUACUUUUGUUUCAGCAUGGGAAUUCUUUACUAAAAUAAAGUCAGUGUCUUUACCUGAAUUCACUUUGGAGGAAGCAUUUGAAAAGUAUUGCAACGGGAUAACCAUGUUUGGUCCAUGGUGGAGUCAUAUGUUAGGUUACUGGAAUGAGAGCAAAACUAGACCAAACAAAGUUUUGUUCUUAAGGUAUGAAGAUCUUAAAGAGGAUACAGUUUUUCAUGUGAAAAGAAUUGCAGAGUUCUUGGACUCUCCUAUCAUUCAAAGAGGAGAGAGUUCCACAGUGAUUGAAAACAUAAUCAAACUAUGUGGAUUUGAGAAAAUGAAAGAUUUGGAAGUGAACAAAUCAGGAUCUAUAUUCGAUGUUGUUGAGAAGAAAACUUUCUUCCGGAAGGGUGAAAUAGGAGAUUGGAUUAAUUACUUUUCUCCUUCUAUGAUAGAAAAGUUAUCCAAAAUCAUUGAAGAAAAAUUAGGUGGAUCAGGUCUAUCAUUUAAAGUGCAUUCUUAGAUUCCAAUGUAAUAUGCGAGUCCACAAUAGCCAACAUGUUGUAUUGUGUAGAAAAAAUGAUAUUAAGAUACUUACUUUUCAUAAAUAAAGAUGUGUUUUUACACUUUGGAUAAAUAAAGAACUAUGUUUUUUAUAGCUUUCGACCAAUAAAAAAUAAUUAUCUACCUUCGAACUUCUAAAACGACAAAUAAACGUUGGUUAUGCGUCGAUCAAGAAGUCGACGAGAAAAGCGUGGAAGUAAAGUUAAUUUGUGUCGAUCAUUGAGAAUGACACAAAUAACAUGGAUUAAACCGAAGUGAGACAAACACAAAUAUUGUCAGCCUAAUCGAUGUAAACGAGGAUGAAAUAUCAUUAGUUAGACCGAUGUAAAUGUAUCAAAAAGACUAGAAUACGUCGAUUAUGCAGAACGCAAAAAGCUUCAUGGAUCUAUCCUAUUAGAAAAAUUUUCAUUCAAUUGGGUUACUUCUUGGGUCUUGAGCUUGUGUAUGGACUCAUUUUAACAAAAGUCCCCCAUUAAUUAAAUCAAUUUCUAGAUUAUAUUAAAAUUCACAAUAAGUUUCGUUAAACCCUUUUACUUUUGUAGUGAUAUUUGUAUGCAAUUAUAAUAAUACACGUUUAUUUUCUUGGAGCUAUGAAUUGGUUUGAUGAAGAGAAAGCACAAAAUCUAUCUUCUUCGUUGGCUAGACGUGUUAACAAGUGGACCAUGACUUUUAUUUUCUUUAAAAAAAAUUGUUUUACAAUGGACUUAUAGGUUUUAUUUUCUCUUUCAUUUAUGUGAAAAAGACUAUAACUCUUAUUUUAAUAAUAAUCAUUAUUGUAAUAAUCUAUCUCCAAAAAUUUAACUAAUUUUCCAAUUCUUUUCAUAUAAAUAGUAUUUUAAAGUAAUAUUUUACUUUAUUAUAUCAUUAAUAGUGAGGUUUUCCUGAUAAAUAAUUUGAUGACAAUGUUAGUCUCUAAGCCGUUUUCUGAUACAUAUCAUUUAAUGUAAUAUUUUCCUUUAUUAUAUUAUUAAUAGUUAGACUUUUCUGUGAUGAAUGAUUUCAUGACCAUGUUAUUCUCUGAACUGUUCUCAUCAAAUAUAGCUGUUACAUGUUUCUUUAUUUAUAUUAUAAAAAUAUAUGUUAGUUGAAGAAGAUGUAUUUUUUUAUUUGAAAGAAACAUAUAUAUCUAAUGUUAACAUAACAUCUUAUAAAUAUUUUAUUUAAUUUAUUCAUUUUUUAUCAAUAAAAAAAAAAAAGAGUGUGUGAGCAUUAGCUUGGUGUCCCCAUUGCAGGUGUUGUUCAUUAUUUCUCAUUUACCCCACCUAUCAAUUAUAUGUCUGUUUGCAUUUUUGUCUCAUUCAAUUAAUAAUAAUAAUAAUAAUAAUAAUAAUAAUAAUAAUAAUAAUAAUAAUAAUAAUAAUAAUAAUAAUAAUAAAAAGUUUAGUUUUUGGACCAGAUUUAGUUUGCAUUUUCAAAAAGUUUAGUUUUUGGCUGUUUGAGUUUUUAUGAUAAACAUUAAAUUUAUGGUCAGUUUUUGGUAUUAACUAAUUUAACUUAUUAUCUCAUCCUCAUCUCUGCCACAUCUUAUCCCUAUCUGUUUAUCUAUGUCCUAUAAUUUAAUUGGUUCAGCUUUGUUUAUGAAUUCCAAAACUUUCUAUUACAAUUGACAAUGUCACCCUUAAAAAUUCAAUUCACACAAAAUAAAAUCUAAAAUUACAUACCAAUUAUUACAUACGGAUAAAAAUUCGUAUGUAAAAUGAAUGUUAUAUAUGAAUAUUUACGUAUAGAUUUUAAUCCGUAUGAAAGAUAUUUAAAAUUUAAUUAAAAAAACAGAAAUUAUUACAUAUAGAUAUAAUCUGUAUGUAAGAUAUUCAAAAAUUUAAUUAAAAAAAACUGUUACAUACAGAUAUAAUUCAUAUGUAAUUUAUUUUAAAUUUAAUUAAAAAAUAAAAAAAAAUCAUACAUAUGGAUUAUAUUCAUAUGUAAUGUAUUAAAGAUUUAAUUUUAAAAAAAUUAUUACAUACGAAUUAAAUAGGUAUGAAACUUAUUUCAAAUUUAAUUAAAAUAUAACAAAAAAUGUUACCUACGGAAUAUAUCUGUAUAUAAUAUAUUAAAAAUUUAAUUAAAAAAUUGUUACAAGCGGAUUAAAUUUGUAUGUAACUUAUUUUAAAUUUAAUUAAAAAAUAACAAAAAGUGUUACGUACGGAUUAUAUCUAUGUGUAAUGCAAGCAACAAUGCCUUCUUGUAAGUGAAGUUUUAGAACAAAAAGCGCAACUUUGGCAUAAAAGGUUUGGUCAUAUGAAAUUUCAAGGACUUUGCAAACUUGUCAACAAGCAUUUGAUAAUCGGUCUACCUCCUCUAAAGUCUCUCAAACGAAAUAUGUACCUCGUGUAUCACUGGAAAAAAACAUAGGGACAAUAUACCGAGACAAAGUUCUUGGAGAGCCUUGAGGAAACUCCAACUAAUUCAUGCCGAUGUGUGUGGUCUCAUUUCGCCCUCAUCUCACAGCAACAAAAGAUACAUUUUGAGUUUUAUUGAUGAUUAUUCUCGUAAGACAUGGGUUUACUUUCUACAUUCAAAAUCUGAAACAUUUAAUGCAUUCAAAAGUUUCAAAGCUCGUGUGGAAAAAGAAGCCAACUUUUCCAUUAUCUGUCUAAGAACUGAUAGAGGUGUUGAAUUUACAUCUGAGGAGUUUGAAAAUUACUACAAUGAUCAAGGGAUUUCAAGACAAAAGAUCACAGCUUACACUCCACAACAAAACCGGGUUGCAGAGAAAAAGAAUCGCACUAUUCUGAAUGCAGUCCUGGCAGUUUUACAUUAGAAAUGUUUUCCAAAAUUGUACUGGCCUGAUGUUGUCUGGUGGUGUGUUCACGCCCAGAAUUGAAACCCAUCAUUUGCAAUAGAUCACCAAACUCUAGAAGAACUUUGGAGUGGUGUCAAACCACAUGUGGGCUACUUUCGAAUAUUAGGUUGCAUUGGUCACAUUCAUAUUCCAGAUCAUAAGAGGAGCAAGUUAGAUGAUAAAAUUCAAUCGUGUAUACUUCUAGGGUUAAGUGAAGAUUAAAAGCUUAAAAACUAUACAAUCCUAUUAACAAUAAAGUCAUCAAAAGCAGGGAUGUAGUGUUUGAGGAGGACAAAAGCUGGAACUGGCAUGACAAUAUAAAGGAGUGCAUGGAUGAUACACUUAAUACUCGAGAAGGUGAACCCCCAGUUCUUGAAGAUACAUUAGUAGACUCUACCCCACAUGUUCCAGUAAGUCAUGACACUAGUUCAAAACCACUGAUCAAUCUUGAUUCAGACUCAGAAUCUCAUCACCCUUUAGCUGAAGGGAGGGCAACAAGACAUAGGCGACCACCUGCAUGGAUGACCGACUAUGAAACUAAACUCUCGAUAGUAGAAGAGGAAGAGAGUUUACUAGCCAUGAUGAAUCUGAAGAUCCUCCCUCAUUUGAAGAAGCCCACACAAAUCCAAAAUGGAAAGAUGCAAUGUACGGUGAAAUCAACACAAUAGAAAAAAAAAAAAAACCACACAUGGGAAGUCGUGGAUCUUCCAAAAAGGAAUUACGCCUAUUGGAGUGAAGUGGAUAUUUAAUACCAAACUCAAUGAAAGUGGUCAGAUCGAUAAAUAUAAGGCCAGAUUGGUGGCCAAAGGUUAUGCUUAGAGGUUCAGAAUCGGCUAUACAGAGGUUUUUGCCCCAAUUGCUCGACUUGAUACGGUGCGAGUCUUACUAGCCUUUGCAGCUUAAAGCACACAAGAAGUCUUUCAACUUGACGUAAAAAAUGUUUUCUUACAUGGUGAACUUUAAGAAGAAGUGUUUUUCCAGCAACCUGAAAGAUUUAUCAAAAAAGGCAAAGAAAAUCAAGUGUAUCGGCUCAAGAAAGCUCUUUAUGGGAUUAAACAAGCUUCACGAGCUUGGUAUAGCAAGAUUGAAGCAUAUUUUGCCAAAGAACACUUUGAUUGAUGCCCUAGCGAACACACCCUAUUCAUUAAAAGAAUUCAUAGUAAUAUUGUAAUCGUCAGCCUAUAUGUUGAUGACAUAAUUUUCACUAGAAAUAGUCGUCAAAUGUGUGAGGACUUCAAGAAGUCGAUGCAAUUAGAAUUUGACAUGACAAAUUUGGGAAGAAUGAGGUACUUCUUGGGAAUUGAAGUUAUACAAAGUGAUGUGGGAAUUUUCGUCUACCAAAGACGUUAUGCUCGUGAGAUGUUAGCUCGGUUCAACGUGACAUAAUGCAACUCUCUUCGCAAUCCAAUUGCAUCAGGCACUACACUAUCUAAAGAUGAUGAAGGAACAUAUGAGUUGAUGCCACCAAAUUUAAACAAGUUGUCGGUAGUCUCAUGUACCUAACAGUCACCCGGCCAUACCUAAUGUUCGGAGUGAGCCUAAUCAGCUGAUAUACUUCAAAGGCAUCACAUUGGGCUGCUACAAAACGUAUUUUGAGGUAUGUACAAGGUACCAUUGAAUACAAUAUUCUAUAUCAAAAGGGCCGAAAUCACAUCCUAUAGUGACAAUAACUAUGUUGGGGACUUGGAUGACAGACAAACAACUUCUAAAGCAGUAUUCAUAAUAGGACCAGGGGUUGUAUCAUGGGCUUCAAAAAAGCAAUCAGUGGUUAGCUUAUCAACUACAGAGGCAGAGUACAUAGCUACAGCGGCCUGUGCCUGUCAAUGCAUUUGGCUUCACAGAAUUUUAGAACAUUUUGGGAUUGAAAGAAAGGAAGCAAUCACAAUUCUAUGUGAUAACAACUCCACUAUUCAGCUGUCCAAAAAUCUUUUCUUUCAUGGGUGCAGUAAGCACAUUGCAGUGAGAUUUCACUUUCUUAAAGAUCUAGUAAAUGAUCAUGUGGUUGAAUUGAAAUAUUGCAUGUACCUACCUCAUCCACCGUCUUCCCUUGAUCCAGAGACAAUGAAUACAACCUAGGAUACAAGAGACUAAUUUUUUGGGGCUCAACCUACGCAUCCUCCCAAAAUCUGACUUUGUCCCUAAAACCAAUUUUCCAAGCUAUAGAUUCUUGGAACCAUCCAUCUCCUUCUCCCUUACCACAUACCUUAGAUAAAUCUCCCCACCACUAGGAUUGAUAUUUUGUAUAGGCUUGAUUUCUUCCUAUUCCAGUGUAAUAUUUAGAUUCAAGAAUGUUUUUCCAUUUCCCUUUUUCUUCGCUCAACAACCUUCAUUUUCAUUUCGCCAAAAUAACAUUAUUAAACUUUCUAAUAUCUUUGAUCCCUAAUUCUCCUUCCUCCAUGGGCUUACAUACAUUCUCCCAUUUAACCCAAGAAAUACAUUUGUGGUCACUUCCCCAGGCCCAGAGGAAUCUCCUUUGUAUACUAGUGAUUUUGUUACAUACCGAUGCAGAGCUUUAAAGAACAACAGGUAAAAGAGGGGUAUGGCAGUAAAGACCACUGGUGCAUAAAUAUUAAAAGACAACGACUAUUUUUUAUUUAAGAAGGCGACUUUAUAGCCGCAUUUGUUGUACACGUAGUCGUAAAUACAAGAGAUAAGAAGGCAGCUAUUUAGCCGCAUUCUUAAAUACCAUUUAUAAAUGCAGCUAUGGUAAAUAGCCGCAUUCUUAUUUAUUUAAUUUUUUUAAAAUAAAACUUUAAACCAUAAACCAUAAGGCAGCAACGGCGAAGGCAAUCGCAACGGAGCAGAGGUGACCUUCGCCAAUACAAGAAAACAAACAAAUAAGAGAAACGAAACAAAUAGAUAAACCAAUGGUUAAAUAGAAAGAGAGCUCGAAACGUAAUUACAGUGGCACGAAGAAGACAGUGAAGGGUCGCAGAAGACGAGAGGAAGCACGAAAGAAAAAACAUAAGAGAAACGAAGUGUUAGAGAACUUUUUGCCAAUGCAAGAAAACAAACAAAUAAAUGAAAUGAAAAAAAAAUUAUAAAUCAUUGGUGAAGAAGAAAGAGAGUUGAUCAAAACGAACUUACAAUGGCACGAGAACGCAAUGAAGCCCGCAUAAGAAAAUAGGAACACCAGAGCAGAAAUAGAGAGAAAACGCGAAGCUCUAAGAAGAAAGAAACUAUGAAAGCGUAAGUGGCGCACUUCAGAAUUAGGGUAAAAUAUGAUUUAAGAAGGCGGGUAGUAGUCGUAUUCUUAAAUCAAGUUAAUUUCAAAAAUGUCACCACGUUUUGAAAGACAGCGUCUAAUCUUAAAACAACAUUAAAUAAUGGGUUGUCGUUUUAAACUUUUGUACUAGUGGACUGAUUUGAUUAAACAUACUCUACCUGCUAACGAGAAACAUCUUCCCUUCCAUGUCCUAAGUCUAAAACAAUUGGCUAGAUGUGUUAACAAGGAACCAUGACUUUUAUUUUCGUUAAAAAUAAAAUUGGUUUGACAAUGGAGAGAGUUAUAGGUUUUAUUUUCUCUCAUUUGUGUGAAGAAGACUAUAACUCUUAUUUUAAUAAUAAUAUUUAUUGUAAUAAUUUAUCUCCAAAACUUAAUUAAUUUUCCAAUUCUUUUUUCAUAUAAAUAGUAUUUUAAAGUAAUAUUUCACUUUAUUAUUGUUAUGUUAAAAUAAGAUAGGGAGUGUCAAAUAAGCCUAGACCUAUAUGUGUUUAUUGUACUUUUAAGUUUGUAACUUAGAGAUGAGUGUUGUAUAUGGGUUGAGAUAUAUCUUUUUUAUAAUUUAUUUGUUAUUGAUUAAAAAAUAAUAUUUCACUUUAUUAUAUCAUUAAUAAUUAUUAUGAUAAAUGAUUUCAUGAAAAUAAUAAUUAUGAUAAAUAAUUAUUAUCAUUAAUAAUCCUUCUAAAGGUUUACACCUUAUAAGAAGUUUUUCACACCAAAUUUCCUUUGAUCCUACACAUUCUCUACAAACAUUACAUGUAACUAGAACCAUUCCACACAAACUCCAAAAAAUCAAUGAACAUAAGUUUGCUUCACCACUCACAUAUAUAAAUCGAGUGAAAAAACUAUGUUAUUUGCAGGAGUUCUAAAUUCGAGGACGAAUUCUUUCCAAUCUGGGGAGGCAUGAUAUAUACAAACCACAACAAUCAGCAGAUGGCUAAGGACACAUCAAGCACUUCACCAAAAGGUCAGUCAUCUUAGUAUACAAAGUCAGACUCCACCAAACCUCGAGAAAGCAUCAGCAGAAGAAGAAUAAGCUAUAAACCAGAAUAUACAAAGUUCUUCAUUCUUGUCUUUUCAUAAGAGAAGUCAUGUAAAUAAAUUGGGCUCACUUUGGGGGUGUAAAUAGAAGAAUAAACUAGAGUAAAGUGUGCUUAGUAAUUUGAGUAGGGUGUGCUUAGUAAUUUGGGUUUGUGCCAAGCCCACCUUUCAUGACAAGUGCUUCUAGGUUUAGGGCUUCUUUGACCUACCUUCUAGAAGGCUUCUCACAAAUGACACCCCUACCCCUCUUUCUUGUUCUCCAAGACACUCUAUCCUAUAAAUAGAGUGUCUUGCCUCAUGUAUUAGACACAUUGAAAUUUGAAGUAAGAAAACUCUGGUUGAGUGAAAUUGUCAGUCUGAGUACUCUAGUUUUUAUCUGGGUCUUAUCUUGGGUGGGUGAUAUCUCAAGUGGCAGCUCUUACAUCACUUAUCUUGGAGUCCCUCUGCUCCAAGUCGCGUGAAUUCCCUUAUACUCCAUAAGCUAUUUGCAUCCCUUUCCUCCUUUUAUUUUCUUUUGAAGUUGCGCCAUCCAUUUAGCUCUUCAUCUUUAUCAUCUUCUCUUUUAUUGUGCUCCUUGCUUUGUGUGUUUUCUUUGUUGGUUCCAUUGUCUUAAUUCCGCUCCUUGCAUCAUAUCCACCUUAUAAUUGUGUUUUUCUCUUUGUCCUUCUAAAGUGAAUCUUCACACUUACUUAAUCACUUUGCUAAGUUUGUGUCUAGUGGAAAUCUUUUUUGGGUUCUCACCAUAAAUUGUAAUCUAAAAAAUUAUAAGCAAAAGUGAAACUUUUAAAAUGUACAAUCUAACAACUCACAUCAAACAUGUUCAUGUAGAAGUCAUGACAUAGUAAUCUUGUCUCAUUACCCAAUCUAAAAUUAGGAUCUAUAUUUCAAAACAACAUUAAUGGUGUACUUUUUUUAAGUUUUAAAAUAUGAUUUCCCACCUUUGAACCCAAAUUUCAAUUAAAUAUGAAAUUAAAGAAACUUCUUUCUUAAAUAUUUUACAUUUUUUUUUCAAAAUAUAACAACAAAUCUUCUAAUUUCUCCCAUUAUAUCUAUUAAACACAAAAUUUAUUUAUUAACAUUUACAUAUCUUACAAAUAUAAUUACACAAUACAAAGAAGAGAGCACAUGUAUUACAAAUAUAAUCACACAAUAAAAAAAAGAGAGCACAUGUAUUACAAAUAUAAUUACACAAUAAAAAAAGAGAGCACCUGUAUGUUACAAAUAUAAUUGCACAAUACAAGCAAGAGAGCACAUGUAUCUUACAAUUUUUUUUUUUUUCAUACAAUAUUUAUGCUUUGGCCACACCAACCUAAACAAAACAAAUUAUUAUUAUUUUUUACAUUGACUAAGCAUCCACCAGCAGAUAAUGAUAUUAAUUUAAUUUUUUCAAUGCUUAGCAUCGAACACAUCCAGAUUGAUUUCACACCUAAAUAGUAUUUUAAAAUAAUAUUUUACUUUUGAGAUUUUUUUAUUACUUUCAUAAAUGAUUUCGGGACAAGUUAGUUUCACCACCUACUAAAAUCAUGGUAUAGAAACUAAUUUUUUUUUAAAAAUAAUAAUUAGUUGUUAUAUCAUUUUAGAAAUUAAAAAAAAAAAGUCGAUUUCUAAAUUAGUUUUUAUUAUUUUUUAAUAAUUUCUAAAUUCAUAUCUAAUUAACUAUCAAAGUUUUUGCUAUCAAAUUUAGAAUUUAAAUGAUUGGUAGUUAAAUCCUUAGUAACGAAUUAGAUAUCAAUUUGAAAACUAUUUAACAAUAGUACUAAUUUAAAAAAAAAAAUUUAGUAUCUAAAAUAGUCUCUAAUUUAAUCAUAUAGUAACUAAUAAUUAUUUUUUAUUUCUAAAUUUAUUUUUUAUUUAAUAAUUUUAUUUAGUAUCCGUAAACAUUAGCUUGUUGAAUAGCUUGUCUUCUUCAUUAUUUGUCAUUUACACACCUGUCAAUUAUAUGUCCCCAUCCCUUUUUUUUUUAACUAAUUGGACAAUAUUCAAUUUUCAUUUUCAAAACAGUUUAGUUUUUGGGAUCCGAACAAACUAAAUACUGCAGUACAAGUAAAAAGUCUGGAAUCUAGAAAUUUGCUAAACAAAAGUUCUAUAAAAGCUAUCUCGUGCUAACCUAUGUUUUCAUCCAAUUCAACUCUUCACUCACCAUUCAUAUUCAAGCU
rnacentral:lncRNA from 1 species